GCGGCAGGCUUAACACAUGCAAGUCGAGGGCAGCGAGAGAGUAGCUAAUACUUUGUCGGCGACCGGCGGACGGGUGCGUAACGCGUAUGCAACCUACCUUAUACAGGGGGAUAACCUUUCGAAAGGGAGACUAAUACCGCAUAACAUUACUUUGAGGCAUCUUGAGGUAAUUAAAUCUUCGGAGGUAUAAGAUGGGCAUGCGUAGCAUUAGCUAGAUGGUGCGGUAACGGCGUACCAUGGCGACGAUGCUUAGGGGUUCUGAGAGGAAGGUCCCCCACACUGGUACUGAGAUACGGACCAGACUCCUACGGGAGGCAGCAGUGAGGAAUAUUGGUCAAUGGUCGGAAGACUGAACCAGCCAUGCCGCGUGCAGGAAGAAUGUCUUAUGGAUUGUAAACUGCUUUUGUUAUGGGGGCUAAUAAUAACUUUGCGAAGUUAGAUGCAGGUACCAUACGAAUAAGGAUCGGCUAACUCCGUG
rnacentral:rRNA from 1 species